GACCCCGCACAAGCGGUGGAUCAUGUUGUUUAAUUCGAUGAUACGCGAAGAACCUUACCAGGCCUUGACAUACUCUGCAAAGCUAUAGAGAUAUAGUGGAGGUUAUCAGAUGUACAGGUGGUGCAUGGUUGUCGUCAGCUCGUGUCGUGAGAUGUUCGGUUAAGUCCGGUAACGAGCGCAACCCCUAUUGUUAGUUGCCAUCAUUAAGUUGGGGACUCUAACGAGACUGCCAGUGACAAACUGGAGGAAGGUGGGGAUGACGUCAAAUCAUCAUGCCCCUUAUGGCCUGGGCUACAAACGUGAUACAAUGGCUGGAACAAAGGGAAGCGAAAGGGUGACCUGGAGCAAAUCUCAUAAAGACAGUCUCAGUUCGGAUUGAAGUCUGCAACUCGACUUCAUGAAGUUGGAAUCGCUAGUAAUCGUGGAUCAGAACGCCACGGUGAAUACGUUCUCGGGGUUU
rnacentral:rRNA from 1 species